rnacentral:rRNA from 1 species
AAUAUUGCACAAUGGAGGGAACUCUGAUGCAGCAACGCCGCGUGAGUGAAGAAGGUUUGCGGAUCGUAAAACACUGUCAUUGGGGAAGAAUAAAUGACGGUACCCCAUGAGGAAGCGCCGGCUAACUACGGACAAGCAGCCGCGGUAAUACGUAGGGGGAGAGCGUUGUCCGGAAUUACUGGGCGUAAAGGGUACGUAGGCGGCUAUAUAAGUCAGGUGUGAAAUACCAGUGCUUAACACUGGAAUUGCAUUUGAAACUGUAUAGCUUGAGUGCAGGAGAGGAAAGUGGAAUUCCUAGUGGAGCGGUGAAAUGCGUAGAGAUUAGGAGGAACACCAGUGGCGAAGGCGACUUUCUGGACUGUAACUGACGCUGAGGUACGAAAGCGUGGGUAGCGAACA